rnacentral:lncRNA from 1 species
GCCUUGAUUUGUAUAGUACUGUCUCUAGAAAUAGCUACCUGGAUAUUAGCCGCUGUCUACAAAGACAAGAUAAAGAAGGAUCUUCCAGUGAUAAUGAAGAAGUCCUUUGAUCGGUAUACACCCGGACAUAGCCUUCUCGCUAAAUCGUGGGAUUAUUUACAGUCUUGGCUAGACUGUUGCGGAUCAUAUGGUCCAGAGGAUUAUAGCGCGAUGAAUUUCACUGUUUUGG